rnacentral:rRNA from 1 species
UACGAAGGGGGCUAGCGUUGCUCGGAAUGACUGGGCGUAAAGGGCGCGUAGGCGGUUCAUACAGUCAGAUGUGAAAUUCCUGGGCUUAACCUGGGGGCUGCAUUUGAUACGUGUGGGCUUGAGUGAGGAAGAGGGUUGUGGAAUUCCCAGUGUAGAGGUGAAAUUCGUAGAUAUUGGGAAGAACACCGGUGGCGAAGGCGGCGAUCUGGGUAGAUACUGACGCUGAGGUGCGAAAGCGUGGGGAGCAAACAGGG